UGAGUAACAUGUGGGCAACCUGCCUGUAAGGCUGGGAUAACUCGCGGAAACGUGAGCUAAUACCGGAUGAAGUCUUUUAUCGCCUGAUAAAGGAGUAAAAGGUGGCAUAUGCUACCACUUACAGAUGGGCCCGUGGCGCAUUAGCUAGUUGGUGGGAUAAAAGCCUACCAAGGCGACGAUGCGUAGCCGACCUGAGAGGGUGAUCGGCCACACUGGGACUGAGACACGGCCCAGACUCCUACGGGAGGCAGCAGUAGGGAAUCUUCCGCAAUGGACGCAAGUCUGACGGAGCGACGCCGCGUGAGUGAUGAAGGUCUUCGGAUCGUAAAACUCUGUUGUCAGGGAAGAACAAGUGCCGUUCGAAUAGGGCGGUACCUUGACGGUACCUAACCAGAAAGCCCCGGCUAACUACGUGCCAGCAGCCGCGGUAAUACGUAGGGGGCAAGCGUUGUCCGGAAUUAUUGGGCGUAAAGCGCGCGCAGGCGGUCUCUUAAGUCUGAUGUGAA
rnacentral:rRNA from 1 species